GCUGAAGCCGCGAAUUAUUACAACGCCGUUGUUUCUUGGAUCUCCUCUGAUACUUGGAUAACUGUGGUAAUUCUAGAGCUAAUACAUGCAACUGAGCUCCGACCGUAAGGGACGAGCGCAUUUAUUAGAUCAAAACCAAUCAGUGCUUCGGCAUUGUGGUUUGGUGACUCUGAAUAACUCCGCAGAUCGCUUCGGUCCUAGUACCGGCGAUGUAUCUUUCAAGUGUCUGCCUUAUCAACUUUCGAUGGUAGUUUAUGUGCCUACCAUGGUUGUAACGGGUAACGGAGAAUAAGGGUUCGACUCCGGAGAGGGAGCCUGAGAAACGGCUACCACUUCUAAGGAAGGCAGCAGGCGCGCAAAUUACCCACUCUCGGCAUGAGGAGGUAGUGACGAAAAAUAACGAGACGGUUCUCUAUGAGUACCGUCAUCGGAAUGAGAACAAUCCAAACCCUUUAACGAGGACCUAGCGGAGGGCAAGUCUGGUGCCAGCAGCCGCGGUAAUUCCAGCUCCGCCAGUGUAUAUCUAUGCUGCUGCGGUUAAAAAGCUCGUAGUUGGAUCAUCGUGCCAGGAGCCGGUCCGCCUUUACGGGCGUGUACUGGAGUCCGGCACUUAAACGUUGGUUUUCUCUUGAUGCCCUUUAUUGGGUGUCCUGAGUGACUAACAUGUUUACUUUGAAAAAAUUAGAGUGCUCAAAACAAGCGUUUCGCUUGAAUAUUCGUGCAUGGAAUAAUAAAUAGGACCUUGUUCUAUUUGGUUUUCGGAACACGAGGUAAUGUUAAGAGGGACAGACGGGGCAUUCGUAUUGCGACGUUAGAGGUGAAAUUCUUGGAUCGUCGCAAGACGGAUACUGCGAAAGCAUUGCCAAGAA
rnacentral:rRNA from 1 species